GACGAACGCUGGCGGCGUGCUUAACACAUGCAAGUCGAGCGAUGAAGUUCCUUCGGGAAUGGAUUAGCGGCGGACGGGUGAGUAACACGUGGGUAACCCGCCUCAUAGAGGGGAAUAGCCUUCCGAAAGGAAGAUUAAUACCGCAUAAGAUUGUAGCUUCGCAUGAAGUAGCAAUUAAAGGAGCAGUCCGCUAUGAGAUGGACCCGCGUCGCAUUAGCUAGUUGGUGAGGUAACGGCUCACCAAGGCGACGAUGCGUAGCCGACCUGAGAGGGUGAUCGGCCACAUUGGGACUGAGACACGGCCCAGACUCCUACGGGAGGCAGCAGUGGGGAAUAUUGCACAAUGGGGGAAACCCUGAUGCAGCAACGCCGCGUGAGUGGUGACGGUCUUCGGAUUGUAAAACUCUGUCUUCAGGGACGAUAAUGACUGUACCUGAGGAGGAAGCCACGGCUAACUACGUGCCAGCCGCCGCAGUAA
rnacentral:rRNA from 1 species